UACGUAGGGUGCGAGCGUUUAAUCGGAAUUACUGGGCGUAAAGCGCGCGUAGGCGGAUCUGCAAGUCGGGGGUGAAAUCCCGAGGCUCAACCUCGGAACUGCCUUCGAUACUGCGGGUCUCGAGUCCGGGAGAGGUGAGUGGAAUUCCUAGUGUAGAGGUGAAAUUCGUAGAUAUUAGGAAGAACACCAGUGGCGAAGGCGGCUCACUGGCCCGGUACUGACGCUGAGGCGCGAAAAGCGUGGGGAGCAAAC
rnacentral:rRNA from 1 species